rnacentral:rRNA from 1 species
GGCGACGGGCAGCUAUAAUGCAAGUCGAGCGAACAGACGAGGAGCUUGCUCCUUUGACGUUAGCGGCGGACGGGUGAGUAACACGUGGGUAACCUACCUAUAAGACUGGGAUAACUUCGGGAAACCGGAGCUAAUACCGGAUAAUAUUUCGAACCGCAUGGUUCGAUAGUGAAAGAUGGCUCUGCUAUCACUUAUAGAUGGACCUGCGCCGUAUUAGCUAGUUGGUAAGGUAACGGCUUACCAAGGCAACGAUACGUAGCCGACCUGAGAGGGUGAUCGGCCACACUGGAACUGAGACACGGUCCAGACUCCUACGGGAGGCAGCAGUAUGGAAUCUUCCGCAAUGGGCGAAAGCCUGACGGAUCAACGCCGCGUGAGUGAUGAAGGUCUUUGUUUCGUAAUCUCUGAUACUAUUGUUAUCCCCUACUUUCCUCA